UACGGAAGGCAGCAGUGGGGAAUAUUGCACAAUGGGCGCAAGCCUGAUGCAGCCAUGCCGCGUGUAUGAAGAAGGCCUUCGGGUUGUAAAGUACUUUCAGUCGUGAGGAAGGUGUUAAGGUUAAUAACCUUAGCAAUUGACGUUAGCGACAGAAGAAGCACCGGCUAACUCCGUGCCAGCAGCCGCGGUAAUACGGAGGGUGCGAGCGUUAAUCGGAAUUACUGGGCGUAAAGGGCACGCAUGCGGUUAAUUAAGUUGGAUGUGAAAUCCCCGGGCUUAACCUGGGAAUGGCAUUCAAGACUGGUUAGCUAGAGUCUUGUAGAGGGGGUAGAAUUCCAUGUGUAGCUGUGAAUGCGUAGAGAUGUGGAGGAAUACCGGUGGCGAAGGCGGCCCCUGGGACAAGACUGACGCUCAUGUGCGAAAGCGUGGGGAGCAAACAGGAUUAGGAUAACC
rnacentral:rRNA from 1 species